UCUCCUCAGUAAAAAACAAAUCGCGCUGUAGGUUCCCUACAGCCUUUCCCCUGAAAAAAAAAUUACCCCCCGGACCUCCUCCUCCGAUCGGCUUCCUCCUCCCAGUCCCGAACCGCACGCGCUCGAUUUCCCGCACCCCCUCUAGCCUCUAGCGGCCAUGUCGCCCGCCGCCGCCACCACAACCUUCGUCGCAAUCUCCAUCGCCGUCCCCAACCCUACCGCUCCAUCCCGCGGUCGCGUGCGCCUUCCGCUAGGCGGGGUCCCCGCUGCUCCACGCCGCGCCGUCGCCUCUAUGGCAGUGUCCGCCCCCAGGUCCGGCGCCGCCACCUCGUUUCUCGAGCGCCGCGAGUCGGAGCGCGCUCUCCACUUUGUCAAAUACCAGGGCCUCGGCAACGACUUCAUAAUGGUGGACAACAGGGAUUCGUCGGUGCCGAAGGUGACGCCCGAGGAGGCUGCGAAGCUGUGCGACCGAAACUUCGGCAUUGGCGCCGACGGUGUUAUCUUCGUCAUGCCGGGGGUCAAUGGUGCCGACUACACCAUGAGAAUCUUCAACUCUGAUGGCAGCGAACCAGAGAUGUGUGGUAAUGGAGUCCGUUGCUUCGCUCGGUUUAUAGCCGAGAUUGAAAAUCUGCAGGGGACAAAUAGAUUCACUAUUCAUACUGGUGCUGGAAAGAUCGUUCCUGAAAUACAAAGUGAUGGGCAGGUAAAGGUUGAUAUGGGCGAGCCUAUCCUUUCUGGACUAGACAUCCCCACAAAACUGCUAGCUACCAAGAACAAAGCUGUUGUUCAAGCUGAAUUGGCAGUUGAGGGCUUAACAUGGCAUGUCACAUGUGUUAGCAUGGGAAACCCUCACUGUGUCACAUUUGGUGCAAAUGAGUUAAAGGUAUUGCAGGUCGACGAUUUAAAACUUAGCGAAAUUGGGCCUAAAUUUGAGCAUCAUGAAAUGUUUCCUGCUCGCACAAACACAGAAUUCGUACAGGUUUUGUCUCGCUCACACCUCAAAAUGCGGGUCUGGGAACGUGGUGCUGGAGCAACUCUUGCCUGUGGUACUGGUGCUUGUGCAGUGGUUGUUGCAGCUGUUCUUGAGGGUCGAGCUGAGCGGAAAUGUGUAGUUGAUUUGCCUGGCGGGCCAUUGGAAAUUGAGUGGAGGGAGGAUGACAAUCAUGUUUACAUGACUGGUCCUGCAGAGGUCGUCUUUUAUGGAUCUGUUGUUCACUAGGUAAGAGGGGGAGGUCUUGGUGGCCAGGUGAUAUGGUGGGUGUGAUUUGGAGCUCCCUAAAGAUCCUAUAUUCCACCAUUUGGGUUGCCCUCAGAUUCUAACUGAUAAAGUAGCUUUUUUAAUUGGCUCAUGUUGCGCAUAUUGUAUUGCAAAAUCAUAGGUGUGCAUGUUAGGACAUCAGCUUUAUUGACGUCUGGAAUUUGCAGAGCUGGUCACAGGUGAAACGACGAGCGGGCAGCGUCUAAAGCAUCAUUUCAUGGAUCGUCCUCUUUGAACGUUCGGUGGUGUCAGGUCAGGCUGAAGCACAAGAUGUCCUCCAUCACGUACCCCUCCAAACUGGUAAACCGUCUCUAGAUUAUGGUUUCUCGAUUAAGAAACGAUUUGACUCUCUCUCGAGAUGUUGGCACGCGUGCUAGGCUGCUGGCUCGAGAGGCAGAAUGAUUGUUCUGUGCGACUUUUUUUGGGGGGGGGGGGGGGGGGGGGGGGGGGGGGGGGGGGGGGGGGGGGGGGGGGUUUCCGCCCAGGUCUGGUCGUAGCUUGGUUUGAUAAGCUGACAAUCCCUGGGAUCGUCUCUCGCCUCCUUCUCAUUUCGUAUUUUUUCAUAUCACAGCGAGUAGUGGACUGGUGAGUCCUCCUUUUCGCUUCCAUCAUGCAUGGCGAUCGCAUCAUCCAACGGCGGGUUUUGGAUGCACGCAUGUGUCCGCUCCGCUGCGCACAGGGGGUCUUUUCUGGAACAGCCACAUCUCCAGCACAGUCGGGGAGGGGAUGGGGGGUCUGGGACCUAACUUCUCCAUUAUACUGUGUGCACCUGUCUGUCUUCCUAUUCCUUCUUCUGAAAAAGGGCCUUUUUCCCCAACAGUGCAACUGAUAUGAUAAAUAUAUUUUCCUGGCGCGCGUGUGAGGCUCACCUCAGCCUUGAGCCCUUGUCAAUUUUCAAAGACGAGGCGAAGACGAGCACCGAUGUGGAGGCCACCGAGCUCAAGUUGCUGCGAGCCUGUGCGGUGGUGCAGUCCGCUUUUUUUUUCUUUCUAUCUCGGCUUGGCGUCUUACUUUUGGAAGCUUCGGCAUCGUUUCUGCUCGGUGUUUCCCGCGGUGGUCUCCCACCUGUGCGGGCUGGGGGGACUUUUGCGCCUGUCUGCGUGGGCCGGGCGCGCCCUGCUCCUGCUCCUUCUCUUCCUCUGCCAUCGGCAGCGGCCGGCGUCAGGUGUCAGGACCGGUCGGCCCGGCCGGCAGGCUUCAUCCUCAUCAUCGGCACGACGACGGCGGCGGCGGCGAAGUUCGACCGUCCCUCGUCGAUCUCGAGUGCCCCGUUGAAACUUGAAGUCCAGCCGUUGCUGCCUCGUCGUGCAAACUUAACUGCAGCUGCAACAAGCGCCGCUUGCUUGACCUGAGCAUGCACCUGCUGGCUGUGCGCCCUGCCGCACUGCAUGCGCCGCACAGGAACCCCUUAUGUGCAAGAGCGCACCGAACGUCGCCAGUGGAGCGGCGGCACGCGGUGGACGGGGACCAUACGCCGCCGUGCUGUUUCAUUUGGAACUCGGUGCAGCCAGCCAGCCAGCCAGACACGUUUUUUACCGCGUCUUGGCCAUGCGCACUGUAUAAAGGUUAAGGAAGGGAGAGAUCGCCCCCGCCGGCUCUGCGUUCGUGCGUGCCCUGGCUGGGAACAGGCACAGCGUCGGAGUUAGUCAACUGUUUAUCUUCUUUCUUGCUAGCUCUCUUUAUUAUCUGACACCGACUGUGCCACCCCCCCUGCUGAGAGGUCGCUUGCUUUGCUUUGCUUCGGUUUAGUUCGCCAUGAUUUUCUUUGCCUGAGACCUUUGAGUGAGCUGCGAGCGACUGCUCGAGGCCACAGAGAGGUCAGUGCGGCCAUCAGUGCGCCCGCCAGACACCUCGCAGACCUUGCUAGCCACUUGACUGCAUUUUUUCUUUCUUUAUUUCUUUUCAAAUAAAAAAAAAGAUUGUUGCGUGUGUUGUGUUCAAUCCACGAGCAUGACUACUCCGUCUGUCGUCCCGGCCGUCCAGACUUCCAGAGCAAUGUAUGUAUGUGGUGCACCUGCCGUAUAUAGAUUAAACACUGUCGCUGACCUUACCACAUGCAUGCGUGUGUGCCAUUAGUCUGGUACAGUCGUGCCGCACUAAACGCCUACGCAGUACGCACGCAUGUUUCUCGUACGUCCCGGCCGCGCUGUGUGUGCGUGCGUGCGUCUUUUGACCAAAACUGCCUUCUUUUUAGAUUUGUUUUUUUGUUGUUGUUGUUGUUGACGCUAGCUAGUAAAGCAAGCUAAGCGCGACGUACGUAACAUACGUGAUCGAUCGAUGUUCUCCGAAAGGUUGUUAUAUAUCCGGAUGAUGACACUAAAGCGAGCCAUCGCUUGCCUUUUUUUAUUUUAUUCCUUGUGUAAUGUCUAGUCCCCCAACAUCUACUCUCUGCUGCUCAAUGGCUCGUCGUCGUAUCGCACGCGCUAGCUGCUUGUGUGUGUAUGCAUGUAUGUUCACAGUCACGUACGGCAACGACCUCCAUCCGUCCAUCCAUCCAAGUGGAUCAGUCAGAGACUCAGAGGAUGCAAGUGGAGGCGGUGUCGAGACAGCCACCACCGGUCCAGUUAGCACAGGCGGUUCGUAUCGAUCGUACCCAUAUGCAUGCAUUGUAAGUAGUACCAGGUUAGGUAUUCUUGAGACGAGAGCAAUCAUAAGGUCGAUUUUACGAAAACAUGAACUGUGGAGCUAUUCACCCUUAGCUCCACGCACAGGGCAUUUUGGCGCAAUAUGCUUAGGGUUUGCAUCCUAGAUAUUCACAUGCAUUGCAAGCAUUUUCAACCAUAAGAAUCACUUCUCUCCUUCCAUAGGAGCUCUACUACACAGACUUUUUACUCCACAUAUAUGGCCUAGUUUGUUGUAAUUAGUCUCGUCUUCACUAAACGCUAUUGUGUGUAUUCAUUUACUAGUUUAAGUAUGUUUACAUACUUUUAAGAGUAGAAAACAAUAUAUAUGUAUAAGAUAAUUCUCUCUAUAUCUCUCUAUCCCUCCCCCCUAAUAUCUACAUGUACCUUUUCCUAUUUGGGCCAGGAUUCUUAAUUAUCUGGCUUAUUUAGGACCGGGGGAUUAAUUUGGAUUGGGGUUCGUAAUUGUACAAGUUACCUUAAAAUCAGUGCAUGUGUCGUAGAUAGUUGAAUAAUAAAGGCAACUUCUUUCUACAAGUACAAAAUUAGUUAGAGAAAGACAUAGACAAUAAAAAAAUAAACGAAAAUUCCUUGGUAGUA